AUUCCCGAAGCUGGCCCUGGGAAUAAAGCUCUGAUAAUGGAAGAGAAGCAAGUACGGCCCUGUCUGGGAGGACCCGAAUGAAGACGCGAGAGUCCGAAGAGGGCCAUCCCCAGGAGGCAGCCCACGGGGAAAGCUCUGGUGGUGCACAGGAGUCGGCCGGGAGGGAGGUACACCUGCUCCAGAGGUGUUAGCGACUCUUGCAGAGGCCUCCUCCAUCCCACAAAGGGCCUCUGGCCUCGCUCCGGUCCCUUUCAAUGACUGCCAUGCAGGAAACAUCACUCCACCUCACCUUGGCCACAGAAUUCAUUUUCUUCAGGCAAGUGGAAAUUACUGGGGAGCCUUUGAGAGGAAAAUGAAGAGAAAGGACCUUCUGUGAGCCAGGCAUCACCAGCGUUCUGCAGACAAGAAAUGUGUCAGGAGUUCUGAAAAGAGCCGUGAAUUGACAGGAGUCUCGUCAACUUGAAGAUGUUGAUGGAGUUGCCCAUGGAAGAAGGUUACUCCACCCCAGCACGCUCUCUGUCUCUUCAAACCCAAGGCGAGCUCUCCAUGGCUUCGCGUGGUCAAGGCCCACCUGCCCCUGCUUCACUUGUGGGUGCUCAAGAAUCAGUUUGUUCCCAGAGCGAAUAUACAGCGACCGUGUCCACGGAAGACUGGCUAACACACAUCGUGGUCGCUGCAUUCAUUCCCCAAGGGGCCUCUUUCUUCUGUUGGGGGAAGAUCCUCCAGCUUCCAGAAACUCCGCACGCAUUUCUGCUCUCUCUCUUGAGUCACGCCCAUCUGCAGGAAAGAUCGCCCUUCCAGCUCCCCUCCAGGAGGAUGAGGGUGUGGCUCCGUGGCAGAGUGCUUGCCUGUCGAGUAUAAUGUUCCAUUCCUGGUGCAGGAAACAAAACCACCCCUUUCAGUGAGCAGCCAACCACAGCUGCACACCCGUACUCUCCAUUAAACCCGAAAUGUCCAGAGUGACCGCACACCCCGGGUAGCCUCCGCUUUCACUGGCCUUUGUCAAGUCCCCGGAGACCGUCCCACUGCCUGACCCAAGGGUCACGGUUUGGGCCUCAUCCUUUUCAUCCUCCUGGCCCCUGGCACAGUGUCGUGUCUCUGUGCCAACCUCCCGACACACUUCCACUCAGUCUCCUCAGCCCAGCCAGAGGCUGGAGGCAGCUCAGGUCUUCUCUACCUACAGCUGGCACUGGGGCCCUCUCAGCAGCACCCAGGACUGAAGUGCUCUCUCUGUGCUGUUGACCUUGUGCCAAAGGAACACCAGCCCAGACCGACCUCUCCAGCCCAAAGCAACUCACAGAACUAUCUAUGUGGCCCUCCCCAUUCAGUGUGUCGGGGAUGUCCAGACGUUUCUUUCUGAGCACUUGGGGAUUGAGGAAAUGUGUUCUUGGGUUUAUCAUGGAUGCUGCUGCC